ensembl:lncRNA
UAGAGAAAAUGAAAGGCAGCAAGUAUCACUGGUUAAUUGAUUUUAUUGUAACUUUAUCCAAACGCCCUACCAUAGUAAGCACCGUGUAAGCAAAUAGGAUGACUGACCACCUUUCCUGAAGAACCAGCAACACAGAAAUCAUAAACAAAGCACUAAGAGCACCCAGGUGAUCUUAAGGUGUCAGACCAUGGCUGAUGAAUUACAAGAGCACAAAAAAACAGCAUCAACAAAAAUCUGCAUCAGUGCAAUAGAUUCUGGGUCUCAGAAGCCCUUCCUUCUGAAUAUAGGAGCAGACUGACGGAGAAGGAUUCCCCUCUUCUCCUCUGCAGGAAUAUUGGUAAUCCCAACCUUAUUUUAAACCCUUGGUGAAGAAAUACACCUGCAGAGGUAUUGCAGAGAACAUGAAAUCAGUACCUGCAUGGGUUCCAGCUGGGUUGUGUACAGAAGACAAACAGGUUCUCUGGGCCCCAUCCCCUCAGGAAAAAAUACGAUCUUAUCUUGGAAAUACACCAGGCUCCACAGCAAAAGAGCUGCACAAGAGCAGAGAACCCCAGGAAACCCUCAUCACAUGGAGCUGCAAAUUUCACCAGUGUUUCUCAUCUGCUUCUUCAGGGUCAGUCAGCUUCAGAAUUUAACACUGGUGAGCACCCCAACACUUCCAUGUUUGUAUCUCUAGCCCAGCUGGGUCUCAUCUGUAUUCACCUGAAGGGAGCUCACUGAACGUAAAGAGUGUCCCACCUGACCGUGUUUUGGUCCUAAAGUCAUUCCUAUUUACUUUUAUCUGAAAAUGAUCGCUCAAAGUAAAAACAGCUACACGGGCCCAACUAUAAUGACACAGACUUUCCUCCUCUCUAAAUAAAUAUGAACAGGACUAAAACUGAAUAAAAAUAACUGUUCUGUUGAAAAGUCCUGAGUGCGUACAUGUGGAAACUUCUAAGAGGCCAAUAAAUAAGACCAUCUGAGUGAAUGAGGCUUUUAUUCUCAGCUUGAGACUGCAGAGGCUGAAACUGAUACGCAGCCAAAUUAAUAGUAGAUGCUCUCACCAGAACUGAGCGUUCCUAAUAGGCAGUGGUUAUGCUUGCUCUAAAGUAGAGGCCGUAGCCAGCCUGUGAUUGAUACUGUGUAUUGACUGGGUGUGAGUACAACAAAAGAGGAGUUCAGAAGAUGUUGUACCUGCCGAUUUGAAGAAAUACUUUCCAAAUUCGGUCAGACAGAUCAGCAAGCAGAAACAGUAAAUCUCUGCAGAGAAAACUGGCUCACCUGAGUGGAAACAACUGCACGCCAAGGCCUUCUGGAGGAACGCUCUGAGAUAAGUCAGGCACCUGGGCUGCCCCUGUGCUGGCAAGCAGGAUGCCAGGGCUCACCCUCCUGCCACAGCGUAUAUCCUAUGCCAGUACACGUCUGUCGCUGUACUGCUCACUUAAUCCUCAUGAACCUUUUCGCACUGUUUAGCCCAUACAAAAAGUAUCCCACAACUGUACUGAAUCCCUAAACUAUUUUGUGUAGCUUUGCUCUCACGCCACUCACGCCACCCGCACCCCGUUUACACCAAAGAACAAAACCACAGACACAACUUUACCAAAACUUAUACACCAAAAUCCAGGUAUAGAUUUAAAUUUUUACUUACAUUCACUGCUAUUUAGGACACUUCAAAAGCCAUAAACUGACCAUUUCAGUACUUACGAAAUUAUAUUCAUGGCUAUUGAGGUUGCAGGUUACAUUUUGUUCAUUAUUUGAAUAAUGAACUACAAAUGUAAUCAGUGUAGUGCAUGAAGCAAAGCCUCACUGCAGAAUUCAGACAGACAGCUGCUGCUCACCGGUAUAAAGGGAG